GAGGUAGUGACAAUAAAUCACAAUGCGGGACUAUCAGUCUUGCAAUUGGAUUGAGAACAAUGUACAACUCUUAUCGAUAAGCCAUUGGAGGGCAAGUCUGGUGCCAGCAGCCGCGGUAAUUCCAGCUCCAAUAGCGUAUAUUAACGUUGUUGCAGUUAAAAAGCUCGUAGUUGAAGUGUGGGUGAUCGCUGUUGUGAGACUUCGGUCUCUCGACAGUAAGUCACCCCCUUCCAGUAUCCAGUAGUGGGUAUUCAGUUACUUACUAUUGUGUGUUGGUCGUUUACUGUGAGAAAAUUAGAGUGUUCAAAGCAGGCGUUUGCUUGAAUAGAUUAGCAUGGAAUAAUAAUUGAAGGCUUUCGUGUUCGAUUUGAUUGGUUUGUUCAUGGAAGCAAGGUUAAAAGGAACAGUUGGGGGUAUUCAUAUUCACUAGUUAGAGGUGAAAUUCUCGGAUUUAUGGAAGAUGAACAAGUGCGAAAGCAA
rnacentral:rRNA from 1 species